CACACCCGUUCCCAUCCCGAACACGGUCGUUAAGCUCUUCAGCGCCGAUGGUAAUUGGGGGCUUCCCCCUGUGAGAGUAGGACGCCGCCAGGC
rnacentral:rRNA from 1 species